AAGAAUUUAGUUUAUUUAAAAUGUUAAAUUGUAAAUUUAAAGUAGUUAAUUCUUG
rnacentral:tRNA from 1 species